rnacentral:rRNA from 1 species
GACGAACGCUGGCGGCGUGCUUAACACAUGCAAGUCGAACGGUGAAGGUGGAGCUUGCUCCGCAGGAUCAGUGGCGAACGGGUGAGUAACACGUGGGCAACCUGCCCCAGACUCCGGGAUAACUCCUCGACAGAGGCGCUAAUACCGGAUACGACCUCCUUCGGCAUCCUUGGCGUUGGAAAGUUUUUCGGUCUGGGAUGGGCCCGCGGCCUAGCAGCUUGUUGGUGAGGUAACGGCUCACCAAUGCGACGACGGGUAGCGGGCCUGAGAGGGCGACCGGCCGCACUGAGACUGAGACACGGCCCAGACUCCUACGGGAGGCAGCAGUGGGGAAUAUUGCGCAAUGGGCGAAAGCCUUACGCAGCAACGCCGCGUGAGGGAUGACGGCCUUCGGGUUGUAAACCUCUUUCAGCAGGGAAUAAGCGAAAGUGACGGUACCUGCAGAAGAAGCACCGGCUAACUACGUGCCAGCAGCCGCGGUAACAC